rnacentral:rRNA from 1 species
CGAAGGGGCGUAGCGUUGCUCGGAAUCACUGGGCGUAAAGACGCACGUAGGCGGCUCUUUAAGUCAGGGUGGAAAUCCUGGAGCUCAACUCCAGAACUGCCUUUGAUACUGAGGAGCUUGAGUCCGGGAGAGGUGAGUGGAACUGCGAGUGUAGAGGUGAAAUUCGUAGAUAUUCGCAAGAACACCAGUGGCGAAGGCGGCUCACUGGCCCGGUACUGACGCUGAGGUGCGAAAGCGUGGGAGCAAACAGGAUU